rnacentral:rRNA from 1 species
AGCAGCCGCGGUAAUUCCAGCUCCAAUAGCGUAUAUUAAAGUUGUUGCAGUUAAAAAGCUCGUAGUUGAAUUUCGGGAUUUAUCCGUUGGUCGGGCUUUUUGGUCUGUACUGGCGUGAUGGAUUCCUACCUUCUGAAUAACCGGCAUGCCAUUAAUUUGGUGCGCCGGGGAAGCAGGACUGUUACCUUGAAAAAAUUAGAGUGCUUAAAGCAGGCUUAUGCCUGAAUACAUUAGCAUGGAAUAAUGAAAUAGGACGCAUGGUUCUAUUUUGUUGGUUUCUAGGAUCACCGUAAUGAUUAAUAGGGAUAGUUGGGGGCAUUAGUAUUCAAUUGUCAGAGGUGAAAUUCUUGGAUUUAUUGAAGACUAACUUCUGCGAAAGCAUUUGCCAAGGAUGUUUUCAUUAAUCAAGAACGAAAGUUAGGGGAUCGAAGACGAUCAGAUACCGUCGUAGUCUUAACCAUAAACUAUGCCGACUAGGGAUCGGACGAUGUUAAUUUUUUCAAUGACUCGUUCGGCGCCU